GAUGAACGCUGGCGGCGUGCCUAAUACAUGCAAGUCGAGCGAACAGACGAGGAGCUUGCUCCUCUGACGUUAGCGGCGGACGGGUGAGUAACACGUGGAUAACCUACCUAUAAGACUGGGAUAACUUCGGGAAACCGGAGCUAAUACCGGAUAAUAUAUUGAACCGCAUGGUUCAAUAGUGCAAGACGGAUUUGCUGUCACUUAUAGAUGGAUCCGCGCCGCAUUAGCUAGUUGGUAAGGUAACGGCUUACCAAGGCAACGAUGCGUAGCCGACCUGAGAGGGUGAUCGGCCACACUGGAACUGAGACACGGUCCAGACUCCUACGGGAGGCAGCAGUAGGGAAUCUUCCGCAAUGGGCGAAAGCUUGACGGAGCAACGCCGCGUGAAUGAUGAAGGUCUUCGGAUCGUAAAACUCUGUUAUUAGGGAAGAACAAAUGUGUAAGUAACUAUGCACGUCUUGACGGUACCUAAUCAAAAAGCAACGGCUAACUACGUG
rnacentral:rRNA from 1 species